rnacentral:lncRNA from 1 species
UUUAAUUUUGGUUUUUUUUUGUUUUCUAUUUUUUUUCUAUUUGUAAUACUUGAAACUAAUUAUAAUCGUGAUUGAGUGGUUUGGCUCAGUGGAGAGGGGUCUUCUUGGAGAACCAUAGAUCACGAGCUUCAACACCCGGUGAUGCUCUUUUUCGUUUUCUUUAUUAUGCUUUCUAAAACUGUCACGAGUUAUGUGUCAAUGGGUCCAUUUGACUCAUGACUAUUCAUCCAUGGCUUAGCGGUAGAUGCAUUAGGUGCUUCCUACUAGGUUGUGAGUUCGACCCUUGUGCAAGUUUUUUUUAUUUCUUUAUUUUAUUUUUAUUUCUUUAUUUAUUUCAUUAUUUUUACAAAUUUUAUUUUCUUUUGAUGUUUUCUAUCCUCAUUUUUUCCGACACUUAUUGAUUUGAGUUUUCG